CUCUCUCUCUCUUCCUUUUGCUUGUCGUUGGUGAUGCGGACUCGGUAACUCUCUAUCUUCUGGUUCGCCCUGGCGUUUUCUUCUUGCUCAUCAAAUUCAAAAUCACCAAUGCCUUUUUCGAUCCCCCCUUUUUUUUUUCCCAGAUUUCUUCGCUGCCUUUGUUUCCCUCCAAACCGAUUUGGCAUGUGUUGCGUUCCGCCCAUCACGACUCGAAGUUUGAGAGGUGGUUUCUGAGGCUUAGCAAAAGGGGAUAACAUGCCUCUGGGACUAAUCCUAGGUUUAGGAAGGUCGAUGAGAAGGAAGCCGACAGCAUCGAUCACUUGACAUUCUCUCUUUGAAACGGGCGCCACGGGAUUACUACAUGGGGAAUAACUGCAAGCCAACUGGUUCCCGUACCCGCAAAGGUUUGGUUGCUGUCACUUGUAUGUUAAUUUAAUUUUGUUAGUUUCAUUAACUCAUCGAAGUCUUUGUUCGUUUGAACUUAAGGCCUUUUACCAUAACAACGGCUCAUAAUUAACUAGACAACAAAUAACUACUAGUACUAUUCAAAGUACGCGAGAAUGGUAGCCAUUGUGUGGCUUGAGAUAAAAUUUUACAUUCAGUAACUUAUGUCGAGAUUGUGACAUGGUGCAGGUGGAUAUAUGUAGUGGUGAAUGAAAAAUGCCAAAUCAUGUGGUGCUUGAUUUAACUUACUCUGAGGUACUCUUUUGCCUUGACUAA